rnacentral:rRNA from 1 species
AGACGACGCUGGCGGCGUGGAUUAGGCAUGCAAGUCGAACGGUAUCAUCCUUCGGGGAUGAGAGAGUGGCGAACGGGUGAGUAACACGUAGGUGAUCUACCCUCAAGACGGGGACAACCCAGGGAAACUUGGGCUAAUACCGGAUGUGAGCUAUCGCGAGAUAGUUUGAAAGGUGGCUUCGGCUGCCGCUUGAGGAUGAGCCUGCGUCCUAUUAGCUAGUUGGUGAGGUAACGGCUCACCGAGGCAGUGAUAGGUAGGCGGCCUUAACGGGUGGUCGCCCACACUGGGAUUGAGAUACGGCCCAGACUCCUACGGGAGGCAGCAGUCGAGAAUAGUCUACAAUGGUCGAAAGACUGAUAGUGCGACGCCGCGUGAACGAAGAAGCCCUUCGGGGUGUAAAGUUCUUUUAUAUGUGAGCAGUGACACCCAUAUUAAUAGUAUGGGUGUAGAGAUAUUAGCAUAUGAAUAAGCAACGGCUAACUCCGUG